rnacentral:lncRNA from 10 species
GUUUCUGGAGAAAAUAACAGAAGACAUGGCAGGAGAAAUGAUUGAGAGCUUUUCCAGUUUGGCAUGGAAACAAAGCAAAGCAAUUUCAGUGUGGUAACAAGACUAAGGAGGAGACAGAUGCUGUGCGGGCAACAGUACCAGAGCUAAGGGAUGAGAAACUUCUCCAUAAGAUGUCCCUUUAUUGCUCCAGCAGCUAUUAUGGGCUGCGUCUCCCCAAGCAUGGCAGCUCACCACUGUGGAACCCUAAAUAGAAUGACACUCAGUGUUGAAUGGCAAGGCCUCUGGUCAUAAAUAAGAUAAGCCGAAAGACAUUUGAUGGUUAUCACAGAAAUGGACUUUCCUUACUUGGAAUUUUCCUGCCUAAACAUCCACAGGGAAAAGCUACAUGUUGGGACUUCAUAAUUCAUUUCAAGCAUUUUGUUUGCAAAUCUCAAAGCUUGAUUUUUUUUCUAAGUUUGCAGGUACUUCAAUAUUUGUAUUUCCAUUUCAGAUUUUUAAAAUUCAUUGCUUUAAAGAACUACAUCUGAAGAACAAUGUUUAGCUCUUUAUUUAUUAUUGUAUUUUAUUUAUCUAAAGACCAAUAUGUUGCUUCCUACUGAUAACAUCAGAUGAAUAUUAUCGUGAAGUUAAAUUAGCUUCUUCAACAGUGAGCUCUGUGGAAUAGAUGCACCUUUCCUUCUAGUGUGACCAUUUGAGAUGGAACAGACCAGAGGAUUUUCCAUCCCAUUGCUAGAAUAUGUUUCUGUGACAAAGUUCUAGCAAGUUUUAGUCCGUAAUCCAUUUCAAGAGAAAUUCCCAUUUCUGUUUUUUUUUCAAUUAUGUCUUUUAACUUAUAUUUUCUGGAUCUUAUUCCAUUUGAGUGAAAUGUGAAUAGAUGAAGAGAUGUGGUAUCAGAGCUCAUUAAACAAAACUUUUCUGGUAACAUGUUUCAUCCUAUUUAGUUAUUUGAAUUCAGAUAAGCUUAAAGGAAAAGAACAAAACAAAGCUAUAAAGAAAAUUGGAAGUUAUUCAUUGUCAUUCAUCAUAAACAAGCUCAGAGGCUGGGAUAUUUGGCACGAUGACAAUGAAACUGCAGGAAAUUGAGCACACUCCAAUGUUGGUGAGGACGGUCCAUCCAUUCUGCAUAUGUCUGCGUCUUUGGGACUUAGAGUCUGGCAAGUAGAAGAGGGAUUUCAUCUUGUUGGAAAAUAUAAGUUGGAAAAUCAACCCACAUGAAAUUGCAGAAGCCAAGGGGUGAGUGUUCUAGAAAGUGUCUAAUUCUUUCUUUGCUUUUAGCUAGGCUGCAUUACAUGAUUCUAUGUGUUCAUUAUUUUUGGACACUUUCUAAAGAGUAGCUAGAAUUGUAAAGACACUACUAAGGUGAUAAUUUAAAAACUAUGCUGUCAUUCAUAUCAAUUAAAAAUAAACUCAGGUAUAAGACUUGGCCCAACUUUCUAUUUUCUUGCUGAAAUUGAUUGUUUA